rnacentral:rRNA from 1 species
CCUACGGGGGGCAGCAGUGAGGAAUAUUGGUCAAUGGACGAGAGUCUGAACCAGCCAAGUAGCGUGAAGGAUGACUGCCCUAUGGGUUGUAAACUUCUUUUAUAUGGGAAUAAAAUGAUCCACGUGUGGGAUUUUGUAUGUACCAUAUGAAUAAGGAUCGGCUAACUCCGUGCCAGCAGCCGCGGUAAUACGGAGGAUCCGAGCGUUAUCCGGAUUUAUUGGGUUUAAAGGGAGCGUAGGUGGAUUGUUAAGUCAGUUGUGAAAGUUUGCGGCUCAACCAUAAAAUUGCAGUUGAAACUGGCAGUCUUGAGUACAGUAGAGGUGGGCGGAAUUCGUGGUGUAGCGGUGAAAUGCUUAGAUAUCACGAAGAACUCCGAUUGCGAAGGCAGUUCACUGGACUGCAACUGACACUGAGGCUCGAAAGUGUGGGUAUCAAACAGGAUUAGAUACCCUUGUAGUC